rnacentral:rRNA from 1 species
UGGGGAAUAUUGCACAAUGGGGGAAACCCUGAUGCAGCGACGCCGCGUGAACGAAGAAGGUAUUCGUAUCGUAAAGUUCUGUCCUAUGGGAAGAUAAUGACAGUACCAUAGAAGAAAGCUCCGGCUAAAUACGUGCCAGCAGCCGCGGUAAUACGUAUGGAGCGAGCGUUGUCCGGAAUUAUUGGGCGUAAAGGGUACGCAGGCGGUUUAAUAAGUCGAAUGUUAAAGAUCGGGGCUCAACCCCGCAAAGCAUUGGAAACUGAUAAACUUGAGUAGUGGAGAGGAAAGUGGAAUUCCUAGUGUAGUGGUGAAAUACGUAGAUAGUAGGAGGAAUACCAGUAGCGAAGGCGACUUUCUGGACACAAACUGACGCUGAGGGACGAAAGCGUGGGGAGCAAACAGG